CAGAGGUGUUAGUCAUCUAGCCUGUUGGUUGGCUUCAAGGCACUUCCCACCAGAGGCAAUAACUCCUCCUCUCUGACCACCCCCACCCUUUGUCUCUUGCGACUGCAGCAUGGUACACAAGGGUUUCAGAGAUCCUGAAAAGGCUGCGUACAUACAUGUCACUCAGCAUGUGGCGGCCCUGCUGGCAGAUUUUCCUUGCCUGACAUUUUGCAGAAAUUCCUCACAUGUCCCUGACAUGCCAUUAAAAUGUACCAUUUCAUGUAUCUGACACUCUUCUGAAUCUACCCUGAUUCAAAACUGGGGCGGAAGAAACUUACUGGAAGCUGUGUUCUGCAGAUCACUUGAACUGAAACUUCAGUGCCUGGUAGAGGGGGUUUUCUGGGACAGAACCAGACAAUGUGCUGCUUCUAAGGGAGCUAUCUUUCUGUGAAAUUAGUGUCUGAGGCUCUGCUCAGCUUGCAAAUCUGAGAUGGGCAAGAUCCAGCCUUUGGCUCUAGGGUCCCAUGUGUGCCUUCAGGUUCAGCGGGGACCGCUGAGGUCCUUUGUCUGAGAUGAGAUCAGAAAAGAACACUGCUUCCAGCCACAGUCAUAGCCACCAGCCAGAUAUUUAUGCAAAAGAGCCAAACCACUCCACCCCUGCUGCUAAUGAAAACAGGGUUUUAGUCAGAGUGCCGGGACUUAUAAAUAUAGUUGGG